CUCACUUCUAACUGUAUUCACUGAGACAGCACCUUGCAUUGUGAAGGAAACAGAGUCAACUGCAUCUGAUAGACGUCUUUCUCCACCAAAAUCCGGUUGGCAGCAGCAGUGAGGAUGGCUGUCCUGUACUGGAUGGCUGUAACGCUGGGUUUGUUCCUGUCUGCUGGAAACAGUUUGGCUGAUGUGGACCAGAACCAACUUGCAGGAAUUGUAAAAGAAAUCUUGAACAGGUAUAGACCAAGCUACACGGGCAGCAACGGUCAAAGAAGAGAACCCAUGUUCAGUCUGGCUGUAAGCAUCCCAUACGACAGUGACAGGAAAAUAUAUAACAUCAGUCAAGUCACUGACACUCGUGAACAAGUCUGGCAAAGUAUUUUGAAGAAAUGUGAAGUGUACACCAGUAAGAGGAUGGUCGCAGCUACAGUUCUGAGAUGGCCCAAUGUUGUGGAUCAGUGUCCUGAGGGACGUGUGCAAUGGUCUGAUCUUCCAACAAAAUGUGGUCAAACGUGGGCUGAUGUUAAAAAAAACUGUCCCACAGAAAUUGAAGAUGGUAGAGCGGAUCAUGCAGAGUACCGUAUUCUACAAAACUUUACCACCUUGGUCAGCAAUCAUGACAAAAAUGAUUUGUUGCUUUUCUACGUUCUUGCUUCCCCGUGUGAUCAAAGAUGUACAAAUGAAUCUAGUCCCUA